CCAAGCUGGGGACAGCAGAGCCCCCCAGCCCUGCCAUGCUCAUUUGGGUCUUAGGGACUGCAAAGGGUAAACUGGGACCAGAGUAGGGGGGGGGGCUGAAAGCAAACUAAUGAUGAAAAUGUCUCCUCCAUGCCUGUGCCUUAAUUAAAUGCAUGGAGAGGCUCGGGGAAGCACAUCUGUUUUCAAUCUGGAGCCCUUUGAUGGCAUCAAAUGUUCUUUCCCCAGAUCAGGGGGGAUGGAAAUUCUGGGCUGGCUGUGGCAGCUCGGAGCCCAGGCUCCAGCCACCGGGACACAGCAGCCUUUCCUGGCCGGCAGGACCCUGCCCCUCGCUGCCAGCCCUGCUGCCCUUGGGACCCUUCUGCAGCCAGCAAGGGCCCGGGGGCACCUCCCCGCACCUUUACCUGGCCCGGGCCAGGCCAAACUGCUGGGACCUCUUUGCUUGCUGGCCUGAGGAGCUCCCAGUGCGCCCUCCUCCUCCUGUCUUUUUCUCUUUGCUGUUUCUCUUUCUGGCUUUUUUUAUUUUAUUUCCCCCCCCCCCCUUCUGCUCUUUUGCUCUCCUUCUGGUCUGUCUUCUCUUUCUUAGUUCUCUGUUGCACUUUUUCUUCCUCUUUCACUAUUUUUCCUUCUUCCUUUCCUCUCUCCUGUUCGCGCUUUCUCUUCCAUUUCUUUGUCUCCUUUUCAUCUGCAUUUCUCAUUUUCACUAUUUCUCUAGUUCGCUAUUCUACUAGAUUUCUCUCCUGCUCCUCUCCGCUGCCCCGGGAACCCUCCCCGGGGCCGUGCCCACCCUCCUCCCCAGGUGCACCUCCGGGUGACAAAGCGGGGGGCUCACCCACACCCCCCCUUUGCGUCCCUAUCACCCCCAGACCGGGGUGCUCGCCCAGCCACCCCCCAUCGAGGAGCUAAUGAGGGCGGCGGGGCCGGCGCUGCCCACCCCCGUCCCGGGGGGGAGCCGCGCCGGUGCCACGUCCCGGCGGGGCCCCGCGGGCCGCCCUCCCCCGGGUGCCCGGCCGCGGCCGGAGCGCCGCGGAGCCGCCCCCACCGU
rnacentral:lncRNA from 1 species